AAGGAGAAAAGCUUCAGAGAAUUGAUCACCGAAUUGAAAGAGGUAGGAAGAGAGAAUGUAUAAUGGGCGUAAAGAAUCGGGGGUAAGAGCAUCAAAAUAUUCAGUGGAAUCCUGAGCAAGAGGACGAAGGUAUUGGAUGGCCUUCUCAAUAUAUGGGUUUACCAACUGAGUGACCGGGAUGUUGGCAAGAGAUUCCUCGUUAUCGUGACGCCAA